CCGAAUCAAUCCGUUUUUUGUUUUGCAGAGGCUGAGCUCCUUUCUGGUACUUUUUGAAACAACAGGAACUCGAGGUGCAACAGCAACAAAUGGAUACUUUUCCACAGUGUGUACCCUAGGGAGGACCUCAAAACCCAAAUGGAUACUUUUCCACAGUGUGUACCUGAGGACCUCAAAACCCAAAUGGAUACUUUUCCACAGUGUGUACCGGAGGGAGGGCCUCAAAACCCCACACACCUGGGCUGCAGAUUCACCACAACAUGGAGCAAUCAGUGCCUAAAUUUCUAUGCCGUGAUGCUGUCAUAAUUUUUGCCUAAAAAUAUUUUUAUUAAUAAUGAUGUCUUACUUCUUCAGGCACGCGCUCUGUGCCAGUUACCCAUGAUUUAAUUCUCACGUCACGUUAUGAAAUGGUUCCUGUUAGUAUCUCUAUUUUGCAGGCUAGUGAACUGAAGCAAACAGAGUUAACAAAGAGUGGACUUCGCACAGUAUAAUUUCAAGGUCAUAAAUGAAAGAAAAAAUGAGAAAAGGGAAAAUCUAAAGUGUCAGACCCUCCCACACUUCUACGGGUUGUUCCAGAAAAAGGAACAGCUUCUUCACUCUGAGGAACCAGAAAGAAGCUUGCUCUGCCCCUCUUCUCACCAGCCAGGGCUGCAGCACAUCACCUGCGUUAUCAAAAGAAGCUAAGCGUUGCAGACCACGUGCUUCGAAGCAUGUGGGCGUGUAUGCCUCGAAGCCGGCUUGAGCCUCACUCUGUGCUUUUUCUCUUCUUCUAACAAACUCAUCACGGAUGUUAUGUCGGGUGCAGGCUGCGAAUUUUAUGCAACUUGGUGACUAUGUGAUUAUCAAGCAUUCAAAUCCCAAUACCUAUGCUCAAAUAUGAGGAAGCAGGUCAGACAGAGACGCCUCCUCCUGCUGCAGCGCCUUCCAGACUGCGUCAAAGAGUUGCAGCAAACAGGAUGAUGAGUGUUGCAAGGUGUGGAGACCACAAACUAUCUGCCACCACUGCCAGGCGCCAUGUAACCUCAACUCUUUCCUGGCAAACUGUAUCUGACACAGUGGAAAAGGGCAGCACUUUUAGAGAGACCGCAGCUCUAACUAAAAUUGAUGAUCAAGCAAGAGGAAAAAAAAUCAGAUUAUCAGCUAUUUUAGAGCACUCUUAAAUUCCCAAGUGCAAUGACCCUGAAAUGCAAACCAUUGUUUUUGACCAGCUAUGACUAAAACAGCUAAAAAGGAUUGAGAAAUAGCCAGAGAGAAACUAUGUCCUCUAAAGCAGCAGGCUUCCUGCCUUGGCUAGCUUGUGUUACAGCAGAUUUUGCCAAAUAAUAUCACUAUAAAACACGUCCUCAAAAAAGCUGUAUCUUCCCAAAGAUGACGUAGCCGUUGCUCCAGGGAUGCAAUAGCAAUGUUCAGAUGAAUGAUGAACUCCUUUCCUGCUACUGCUGCGCAGCUAAUUACCACAAAUCUGUGGCUAAAAGCAAUGCCGCUUCAUUCCUGCACAGUUCUGGAGCUCUGAAGUCUGAAAUGGGUUUUACUAGGUACAAGUCCAGGUGUCUGCAGGGAUGUGUUCCAGCUUCUAGAGGCUUCCUGCAUUCCUUAGCUCAUGGCCUCACUCCUCCAUCUUCUAAGCCAGCAAUGUCAGGCUGAGUCUUCCUCAUGCUGCCAUCUUUCUGAUUCAUUCUCUCCUGCCUCCCUCUUAAAAGGAACACUGUGAUUACAUUGGACCCACCCAGAUAAUCCCACAUAGUCUCCCCACCUGAAGGUCAGCUGAUUACCAACCUUAAUGCAGCCUGGAACCUCAAGUCUCGCAUUGCCAUGUGACAUAACAUGGUCACAGGUUCCAGGGAGUAGGAUGUACGUAUCUUUGGGGGGCUAUUAUUCUCCCUACCACAAAAGGUAACACCAGAGUCUUCAGUUUAGUAUAUUUCAUCCUCACAGCAGCCUUCAAGGAAUGUUGACAAAGAAAGAAUCAGGCUUUGAGAAUGUAAGUAAUUUUCCCAAAGACAUGCUGCAAGUAGGAGCUAGAGCUGGAGCAUGACCAGAUCUGUCUGCCAUGUAAGCCCAGGCUCAUCCUCCACACGCUGCUCCCAUCAGGAGGCAACCUGGCCCUUUCUCCUGAGUCUCUACAGAUGGAGCCUGCAUACGACUCACCAGGAAAUUCUUCUUCCUUCAGGAAUUUCAGGGCAUGCUGGUGACGGCAAAGAGUCAGGACAAUUGGCCUCUAUUUCAUAUCGCAUCACAACCACUUUGGGACAUUUGCUAAAACUUUCAGGUUCUAAGGAUUCUCAGCUGUGAAACCAGGAACUUGGAUAGAUAAUGCUGAAGACACUUUUCAGUUCUAAAAUUCCACAACUGAAUGAUCUAAUGGGUAAAACCACGGUGCUGCAGAACAGUGCCACUCAAAGCAUAGUCAACCUCUGUCAGUCCACGGAGUACUUAGUACCUGUCAAUGACAAGAUAAGGAGCUAAGCCAAAAUGUGAGCCAACUACAUCAGCAAGUGCACCCUUCAGUUCUGCUGCCAUUUGAUUUUUUGUAGCAAGGCUUUCGUGGUGAAGGAAGCAGUGUGUUGAUUUGCCUCCUGGCGCCAUCUUAUUUCACUGCAGAUUGUAGCAGAUGUUCCUGGAUCGUAGUCUGAAUAAUGCUGACGUGGGAAACACUUCGAAGUUCAGAGCCUGGCACUGCUGUUAACACUUUUGGUGCAUUUUUAUACUCAGAAUGAUGGUGUUUCUGUCCUACCUUUCAACUCCACAGAGGACGCAUGUGAAGUCGCCUGUCCUGGGACUCUGUUGAUCUUAUGGAGUCUCGCUCUGUCACCCAGGCUGAAGUGCAGUGGCGUGAUCUGCCAGGGAGGUGAGAUUUGCCUACGUUAGUCAUGUAACCUGAGUGAUGCAGGUAAGAGCCAUGGUGAUAUUUUAUUGUGUUCAAGUGAUACUUCAAUACAGUUGAUUUUCUUUGAAGUUCUGUAUGUGAUUUCUGAAAAAAGUCACUUGGAAAUCUACAUGGAUAUUAUGAAAACUCGCUGGAGAAUAAAUUGUAUAUAAUUAGAGCAUCCCAUUUUAGAGUUUACAGGGCAAUUACAACAAGAUGUGCUUCCUUUCACGAUUGAUUUGGCUAUUACAGAAUUUCAUGUAGACAGAUUCAUUCAGCAUGUUCUUUUUAACGCCGGCAGUAUCCUAUUAUACAAAUAAAACGAGAUUGGUUUAUUCAUUCUGUUAAUGGACUUUGGGUUAUUUUCCAGUUCUUUUGGAUAAAUAUGUAGGAGUGGAAUUUCUAGGUCAUAUGGUGCGUGUAUGUUUAACUUUGUAAGGAACUGCCAAACUGUUUCCCAAAGUGUCUGAACCAUUUGGUAUUUCCACCAGCGAUGCAUGAGGUCCUAUUGCUCCAAAUCCUCACCAGCAUUUGGUAUUGUCAAUCCUUUAACUUGUGCACCUCCGAGAGGGUGUGCAGUGCUAUCUCACUGCAGCACACGCAGAACUUUGAAGUUCAAAAAGUAGAAAGAAAACAUGCAGGAAAGUAUAGAAGUCGGUUAAGCUGAUGAGUAUUACCAUGGUCUGCAUUACGCUGAGCUAAAAUAAUUGCUUUCCAAAAAUUUGUCAGUCUGGACCAGGAGAGAGAAUCAAGGACUUGUGGAGUUUUUACUGGGCUGCUGGCCCAACUGAUGGCUCAUCCCAUAUCUUGGGGCAGGUUCAGGAAGGAUUGUGAUUGAGAUAAGGAGAAUCAACCUACAGAGUUCAGAUUUGGCUAGUCAGUCCCACAAGCAUGUAAGCCAUUCCUUGCAAUCAAUCAACAAACAAAUGAACGUGUGUGUGUGUGUGUGUGUGUGUGUGUGUGUGUGUGUCCUGCUGGGUCUGUUUCUUUCACAGAACCCUGACUGACUCUAGGAAAACAGCCUGUUGCGUGGCAAGACUGAUGCCAUCUUGAAGUGGGACUGCCAUGAUGACAGAUACGUGACUCCUGCAGACCAAGGUGUUCUUCAGUAAGGUCUUUAAACAAUGCCUGUGGCUUAGAUAAUUCCUCAUAAAGAUGCUCAUCUAACCUCUCCAGUGGUCAUUAGUCUGAGAUGUGGCUGGGCCCGGUGGCUCACACCUGUAAUCCCAGCACUUUGGGAGGCCGAGGUGGGUGGAUCACGAGGUCAAGAAAUCGAGACCAUCCUGGUCAACACAGUGAAACCCCGUCUCUACUAAAAAUACAAAAAGUUAGCUGGGCAUGGUGGCGCGUGCCUGUAAUCCCAGCUACUCAAGAGGCUGAGGCAGGAGAACUGCCUGAAUCCAGGAGGCGGAGGUUGUGGUGAGCCGAGAUCGCACCAUUGCACUCCAGCCUGGGCAACAAGAGCGAAACUCCGUCUCAAAAAGAAAAAAAUAAAAUAAAAAAAAGACUGCUAUAUAAAUGAUUGUUUUGGGGGGCAGGCAUGAAGAUUUACUGCCUCAUGGCUGUCCAAGACAUUGCUUCUGUUCCUAAGUCCCUAUUAAAUGCUUCUGAGAAACCAGAUUUGUCAGCCUCUUUCGUCAGCCUCGCAGCACCUUAGCCUUUGGGGUUGCUUUGCGGAGACGCACACCGUGAACCAGUGACCAAGAGCAGCCUCCUGUGCAACCGCCCUCAUUUUCCUUUUUGACACCCUCACCUGGUGCUUAGUGAUGUCACAGCGCACGUGUCAGCCAAGCCGCUGGGGACAAACUGAGAUUCUACCUUUCAUUUGACUAUAACGGCAAGUCUAAGUCUGAGUUUCAAUCAGAAAUCUUUAAGACAAAGACUAAGAAUUAAGUGAAAAAUGGGCCAUAGAACAGGCAGCACUCAAAAUAAUGUUCUAUGAACAUACGCUAAGAUGCUAAAUCUCAUGUGUAAAGAAAGAAAUGUGAAUUACAUCAGGAACAUACCAUGUGUCAUCAACAGGCAAGGGUUUAAAUGAAUGAUGGUAAAUAUGUGUGGUUUAGCAUACAUCAGUCAUGCCUCAAUAGAGCUGCAAAAAGCAAGAGUUAAAAAAAGGUGUGGCGUUUGGGGUAUCGCUGCGAAAUGGAAAUUCUCAGGCACAACCAGACAGGGUAUCAACUGAUUCAUCAUUAGGAAAGGUGAUUUGGAAAUAUUUAUAAAGAUGUUAAUUGUACUCACAUUUUGACCUUGCAGUAUCUUUUUCUAGAAUAAAUCUUAUGACAAAAUUUUAAACUGGUGCCAAAGAAGUAGCUAGAAAGAAAUAUAAGAAGUAAAGAAGAGAGAAAGAAAGAAAAGAGGCCAGGCAUAGUAGUUCACGCCUGUAAUCCCAGAACUUUGAGUGGCCAAGGUAGGUGAAUCACUGAAGGCCAGGAGUUUGAGACCAGCCCAGCCAACAUGGCGAAACCCCAUCUCUACUAAAAAUAUAAAAAUUAGCCUGGGUACCUGCAGUCCCAGCUACUUGGAAGGCUGAGGCAGAGAAUCACUUGAACCCAGGAGGCAGAGGUUGCAGUGUGCUGACAUUGUCCUGCUUCACUUCAGCCUGGGUGACGGAGCAAGACUCUAUCUCAAAAAAACAGAAAAGCACAUCCUGAGGAAUUAAUUAGACCCAUGAAUAAAGCUAUAGGUAUAAUAUUACACCUUUAUACUAGCAAAAAAUAUUAGGGUAUUAUAACAGCAAAAUAUUCGGACAAAAAUUAGAAUAGUCAUAUGAAUUAUGAUAGAACCACAGA